rnacentral:tRNA from 2 species
GGGGAUAUAGCUCAGUUGGUAGAGUGCUUGCCUCACAUGCAUAAGGCCCUGGGUUCAAACCCCAGUACCACCA